UUUAUUUAGAUGACUUUUAAACAGAUUUUGCAUGGUGUUAGCUCUUCUCUUUCUGCUUAAAAUUUGGAGUUACAAAGAUUUUACAAAGGUGAGAGAAACCAAUACCAUCAAGUGCUAACACAGACCAACAGAACUUUUGUCUUUGACAUGGACGUUGUAGUUACUUUGUAUGAGUUCGAGGGAGAUGUAAAUAAUGGAGAACUAUGUUUUGGACCAGGAGAACGAAUUACUGUCACAAAUAAGGAUGUGGGUGAAGGGUGGUGGGAAGGCCAAAAAGAUGACGGGACUUCAGGAUUGUUUCCAGAGACUUAUGUCGAGCCGGCCAACAGCAAUGAAGCUACAAAUAGUUACUAUCCCCCUGAACAAGCACCACAUUCUGACCCCACUUUAGACCCAUCCGAUCCAUUUGGGUUACCACCACCUGCUCCAUCUGAGAGCUGGGAAGAGCCACAAGUUGCGGUAGAAGCUUCUGCUCCAGUCGAACAAAGCACAAACAAUGAUUGGGCCGAUGAUUGGACCAACCAAGCACCACAGCAACAGCAACAAAAUGUGUCACCCACCCACUCACAGAGGUCGCAGGGAUCUAUUGUUAAUUCAGCGGGGUUAGGCUCCCCUGUUAAAAGAACUGACAGGAAAACAACUGUCAAACUUGGAAAUUUCAUAUCCUCCCUUACAAAGACAGCGGUUGAGUCAUUUGUUUUGGGCGAAACCAACCUGGAAGUUCCUGCAUCUUCGAUGGUACAAGUUAUUUCUGGAUUAGAUGGACCAAUGUGGGAAAAUAAUCCCCACCCAUUCACAUGCACAGUCACCAACCCAGUGAAGGAAAGCAAGUUUUCCGGCUUAAAAAGUUUUAUAGCUUACACCAUAACACCAUCACACACAGACGUUGCAGUGCUACGUAGAUUCAAACACUUUGAUUGGCUUUAUGAGCAACUAGUUAGAAAGUAUGGAGUGUCUAUAUCAGUUCCACAACUGCCGGACAAGCAAAUAACAGGGAGAUAUGAAGAUGAUUUUAUUGAAGGAAGAAGGGUCCAGCUGCAAACAUGGUUGUGUAGGAUCGCACUUCAUCCUGUCAUAUCUUGUUCAGAUGUGUUCGGUCACUUUGUAACAUCCAAAGAUGAUGAAAAAGCAUGGAAGCAAGGCAAACGUAAAGCUGAGAAAGAUGAAGCAGUUGGUGGAGGAUUCUUCCAAGCCAUCAAUACUCCCGAUCAAAAGAUGGAUUUCACAAUCGCAGAACAGACAUUGGACACACACAGUAAAUUCACCCGUGGUAUGGAUGAAGCUUGCAAACAACUUAUUAUAGUUGGGCAAGACCAAGCUAAGAAGUUUCCCCAGGUGUACAAGAAAGACACCCAAAGACUUGGUCAACUUUUCUCAACACUUGGUGAAUGCUUCGAGCUUGACAACAGGCCAGUGUCUGCCCCACUGACCGAGGCAAUUAAACAUACGGGUCAAGUAUAUGAAGCUGUUGGUGAAUUAUAUGGUAAUCAACCUACGUAUGAUUGGAAUCCAUUACUUGAGGGAUUGAAUGAAUAUCACGGAGUGUUGGCCACAUUUCCUGCCAUACUUGGAAACCAAAGGAAUGCAUUGGAUAAAUUAAAAGAAGUCCGGAGGUUGCAACUUGAGAACAAAGUGACGGUUGAUGAGAUGGAAGAUGUUGCUACGAGGACUGAGAAGAUCAGUUACGCUGUAGAAGCUGAGGUGAACCACUUCCAGCACUACAGAGUUGGGGAUUUUGUCGGGUAUAUGAAGGAUUUUGUGCAGCAGCAAAUAUCAUUUCACCAAGAGAUUGUCAAAAAGCUUCAAGACACAGCUGUGUUAUACGAAGAGUUAAUGUAGUAAUUCACAUGACCUUUACAUGGCCUACAUGCCUGCCAUUGCAAAUUAGACUAUCCUGCAUCACCGCAAAGCAGUCUAUGACAUCUAACACCGUGUUUUAAACCUUGUUUGAUUCUCUACUUUGUAGAACAUUCAUUAUAAUGUCAUAAUGCAGUGCAAAGCUUUUAAAUUUUUCUUCCAUUAAAGUAACAAACAAUUUUUAAUUUUUUCAUUGAACAUUUGAUUACAGUGUUACUUAAUGUAAAAUAGAAUCCUUCCUAUCACAUAUUGUAAGUUUGUGAUUUCUUCAAAUGCUUUGAUGCCAUUAUUCAUGAGAAUGCAAUUUUGCUGUUCAAAACCAAAAAAAACGAACAUCUGAUUUUUUUGUUUGUUGUUUUUGUCCCGUACUUCAUUGAAUAACUUUCUAAAUGACCUAAUGUUAUGCAUUUGAUCACAUGCUACGUCCCCCAUUUUUGUCAAGUUCCGGUUUGCAGCUUUGUUUUUAUAUGAGAUUUUAACUGUUAACAAAGUGAUUGACGUCCAUUCAAUUUGAAAUGAUGCCUCAGUCGACUAUCUUUGCGCAGUCUUCUUUAUUUCAUUGCAUGCUCAACACUGCAGAUCUAGGUCAUAUGUCACCACAAACGUAAAGUCCCUGAUUCGAUUUCAAAUCCGAAUUUCCAAAUUACGUCAUUUUUAUUUCUAGUGACUUUCUCAUCUGAUUCUUUCAAAACUUAGUCAUCUGAUUCUUUCAAAAUACUGACCAAUCGAUUUUAAAUACCUUUUUUCUCACCUCUGCAGCCAGUCUUUAAAUCUGUAAUGAGUGACCGCAGUUUUAUAAAUGAAUGCGAGCUACUAACUCAAAAUUAUUUUGCUUGCCCACAUAUAAGCUUAUGACGUGCAAUAUACAUAUUAUAUAACGCUUGUUGAACUAUCUAAUUAAAAUAUAUCGAUCUUUGGACA